UACGUAGGGGGCAAGCGUUGUCCGGAAUCAUUGGGCGUAAAGAGCGUGUAGGCGGCCCGGUAAGUCCGCUGUGAAAGUCCAGGGCUCAACCCUGGGAUGCCGGUGGAUACUGUCGGGCUCGAGUCCGGAAGAGGAGUGUGGAAUUCCUGGUGUAGCGGUGAAAUACGCAGAUAUCAGGAGGAACACCAAUGGCGAAGGCAGCACUCUGGGACGUGACUGACGCUGAGACGCGAAAGCGUGGGGAGCAAACAGG
rnacentral:rRNA from 1 species